CGACCGCCACCAAGGAACGUCCUCUUCCAGGAGUUCCCUUUUCGGUGAAGUUCUGGUACGAGCCUACAUCUUUGGAGAUGGAAGCCCAGGCACUGCUGAGAAAGGCGAAAUCAGGGCACGCAACGCCAAAUAACCGACAGUUUCAGCGUUCCAAGAUCAAUAACAUCAGCAGCAACAAAACA